CCUACGGGAGGCUGCAGUGGGGAAUAUUGGACAAUGGGGGGAACCCUGAUCCAGCCAUGCCGCGUGUGUGAAGAAGGCCCUCGGGUUGUAAAGCACUUUCAGUGAGGAAGAACGCCUGGUGGUUAAUACCCAUCAGGAAAGACAUCACUCACAGAAGAAGCACCGGCUAACUCCGUGCCAGCAGCCGCGGUAAUACGGAGGGGGCGAGCGUUAAUCGGAAUUACUGGGCGUAAAGCGCGCGUAGGUGGCUUGAUAAGCCGGUUGUGAAAGCCCCGGGCUCAACCUGGGAACGGCAUCCGGAACUGUCAAGCUAGAGUGCAGGAGAGGAAGGUAGAAUUCCCGGUGUAGCGGUGAAAUGCGUAGAGAUCGGGAGGAAUACCAGUGGCGAAGGCGGCCUUCUGGACUGACACUGACACUGAGGUGCGAAAGCGUGGGUAGCAAACAGGAUUAGAUACCCCAGUAGUC
rnacentral:rRNA from 1 species